rnacentral:rRNA from 1 species
CACGUAGGGCGCAAGCGUUGUCCGGAAUUAUUGGGCGUAAAGAGCUCGUAGGCGGUCUGUUGCGUCUGCUGUGAAAACCCGGGGCUUAACCCCUGGCUUGCAGUGGAUACGGACAGACUAGAGGUAGGUAGGGGAGAAUGGAAUUCCCGGUGUAGCGGUGAAAUGCGCAGAUAUUGGGAAGAACACCGGUGGCGAAGGCGGCGACCUGGUCCUUGACUGACGCUGAGGCGCGAAAGCGUGGGGAGCAAACAGG